AGGAGUGUAGCUCAGUCGGUAGAGCACUUGCCCGAUAAGCAAGCUGUCGUUGGUUCGAUCCCAACUAUUCCUACCA
rnacentral:tRNA from 1 species